AUGUGUCUGAGCACUUUGUCUUUUCAUUCAUGUCUCACUACAGGAAAUGUGGAUUUGGAAGGAGAGGAACAGAGUCAUGAAAAGGGAACUUAUAUGAUAUGUUUAAAGGAACGACAAGACAGUAAAUACAAAGCAAUAAUCCGGGACUCAGUCUGGAGGAUGAAGAAUUCUAUCCUAAGAGAGAUGAAGAAUGUCAUCCUACCACAGCCAUGCACAGCAGUCUCAGGAGGAGCAAAUGGAUUAUAUCACCUUCCUGAAAGGAGAAAGAGGCUAAAGGUCUCUGAAGAUGAGGAAGAGCUCUGCAGGGAUGAGAAUGCUAGCUUGGGCUUGGGGACAUUUCCCCACCAUGAGAGUGCCUAUAACUUCUGUGCUCGGUGCCCCACAGCUCUGCCCCACAGCCUGCUUUACACAUGUGCCCCCAGACUUAGAGACUCAGGAAGGUACUCACCAACACUCUAUUCUCCAUCUUCCCAUGCCAUGGUGGCUCUAAAUAUGGUCUUCUGUGAGUUUUUCAUGUCACUUGACCUCAGGCAGAGGGAGAGCCUAUGUGGAAAGCUGGCAGGAGAGAACAGGCUGCCUGAAGGGAGUAGAUUUUCCAGGGCAUACUGUGGAGAUAUGUCGUAUUUCCAAACACGUCCCACACAGACAGCAGCCUGGCUUCAUGAAUCAUCUAACUGAGCAAGAAGAGAGCUGGAUAGACUGAGAUGCCAUGCCUCCAAGAGCGAGCUCAACACGACCUAGACAGUUUGGUUAUGACAGCUCAGCUUCCCGUCUUUGUCCCUUAGUGCAUGACAUCUUUCUGGCCUGACACUUCUAGCUUUCCCAGAUUAAAACUUCCUAUUUGGUGCUGAUGUUGGCUGCCGUUUAGUUGAUUACUUCUAGACUGUUCCUUUUGAUUUGACGACCACCCAUGGCUCACAGCCAGAUAAGUUCACUGAUGGUAUUUACUGGCACAAGUGUACUUCAGCAUUUUCCCAUGACAAAUGCCACUAUUUCAGGGCCUCAUGGGUGCUCACAUGGCUGAAGAAAGAUCACACUGUGUUGUGUUUUGAUAAUGCUUUCAUGUUGCUGAAGCUCUCUAACAAACAGCAUCUGCCUUCUCCACAGCUGGCUAAUGGUACCUCUGCUCUCCAGAGAAGGCAGAUCUAUUACUUUCAGUUUCUUCAGUCUCCUUCAAACCACACAUACCUAAAAUCCAGCUAGCGGAGGGGGUGUUGGGGAGAGCUCCGUGUUAGAUAACUAAGGUUGCUAGUCAGACUAUAAUUUAACCAGUCCUGGAAGCCUGGUGUUAGCAGUUCAGCAUACUGUUUCCCUGCACAGAGCAUGAUGAACAGACAAAUGGCUGUGUUUAGGCAGCAUUAUGAAAAUUAACUCUGGAAGUAGGCCCGGUGUCAUUGCUCACAGUAAUGGUAACAGCUACCAAACACUUGGCAUUUGCAGAGAUUCUCCAGCUGCUACCACUGGAGACUGUUUUUUCACAGCUUCCACACAAUGAUCUGAUUUCUUACACUGCAUUACAAGAACACACAUUUCUCACCAUAUGUGCAGAAGGCUGUGCAAGGAGCCUUUUUACUCAUAACAACAUCUGCAGAGUUUCAGACCAAAAGCUUAUUUCACUCUGUAUUGGUCAUUAAUGGACGCAUAGAGAGAAGACAUCAAAGAAAAGCAUGCGACAGUAUCUCUCUGCAGUAUCUCACCCAGCUUCCAGCAAUUUGCAGGACAAGGCUGUUUAAUCUCUUCACGUAUAGAAUCAUUCCUUACUUCAAAUCCCAUUUGUGUCACUCUUUCUUUCCUGCACAUUUUUCUACCUUUACAUUUUUAUUUAUUUAUUUAUUAUUUUUUUUAAUGAUAGAGAGGGCCAGAACUGCUCACGUAUCCCUGGGCACACCAUUGCUUUAUAUAAUGACACAAUAAUGCUUUUUAUUUUGUUCUCUAUUUCCAUCCCAACAGUUCCUACUGUUCUACGUGUCAUUUUGAUAAUAGUUAAGUACUGAGCAGAUGUUUCCAGAAAUCUGUCCACAAAAUCCAUUUCUCAUUAAAACAUAUUUAAAAAAUAAGCAACAAGUCCAGAAAACAGAAUCAAAACAAAAAGUCAAACAACAACAAGAAUUACAAAAAACACAACCAACCAGCAACAACAACAAAACCAGAAGAACCAGAAUCAGGUCUGAUUGUCUAAUUACAUGUGUAAAUUUCCUCUUUGUCCAAAGAAUAGAAGGAAAACCUUGUACAAUACAAUCCUUAAAAUACAGAUGACUUAAUAUUAUUUAUGAAAUAAAUUUAUGAAAUAUUUUUUUCUGGUCA
ensembl:lncRNA